rnacentral:rRNA from 1 species
UACGGAGGGUGCAAGCGUUAUCCGGAUUCACUGGGUUUAAAGGGUGCGUAGGAGGGCAGGUAAGUCAGUGGUGAAAUCCCCGAGCUUAACUUGGGAACUGCCGUUGAUACUAUCUGUCUUGAAUAUCGUGGAGGUGAGCGGAAUAUGUCAUGUAGCGGUGAAAUGCUUAGAUAUGACAUAGAACACCAAUUGCGAAGGCAGCUCGCUACACGAAUAUUGACUCUGAGGCCCGAAAGCGUGGGGAUCAAACAGG